GAUGAACGCUGGCGGCGUGCCUAAUACAUGCAAGUCGAACGAAGAUCUAGCUUGCUAGAUCUUAGUGGCGAACGGGUGAGUAAUACAUAAAUAAUCUGCCCAUAUGACUGGGAUAACUAUUGGAAACGAUAGCUAAUACCGGAUAGGUUGAUUGGAGGCAUCUCUGAUUAAUUAAAGUAGGAUUUCUACACAAAUGGAUGAGUUUAUGGCGCAUUAGUUAGUUGGUGGGGUAACGGCCCACCAAGACGAUGAUGCGUAGCCGACCUGAGAGGGUGACCGGCCACACUGGGACUGAGACACGGCCCAGACUCCUACGGGAGGCAGCAGUAGGGAAUUUUCGGCAAUGGGCGCAAGCCUGACCGAGCAACGCCGCGUGAGUGAUUAAGGCCUUCGGGUUGUAAAGCUCUGUUGUAAGGGAAGAACAUUCAGGAUAGGAAAUGAUCUUGAACUGACGGUACCUUACCAGAAAGCCACGGCUAACUACGUGCCAGCCGCCGCCGUAA
rnacentral:rRNA from 1 species